GUGGUUCCCAAAUGGGCGCUGCUGAGUAUAAAGUGCUUCACCCGACACCAUAUUAAAUUGCAGCCAACUAUACAGAUCAACAGUGCAUUCAAUAAAAUGUUGGCAUUUUUUGAAAGACUGCCAAAAAUUCUUUUUCACAUCCAAUUUAUUGGACAGGAUUCCACAUGUCUGAAGUCUGAUGAUGGAACAAAAAGAUGCCAAAUAUCAAUCUUCCAAGAGAAAUCAUUGUCUACGACCCUGUCAAUAUGUGAUGAUUGAAGAAAAGGGCGCCGCAAAGAAGCUAUCCUGCCUUCUACUUCCACAUCAAUACCAAAGCAAACCAUCAUUGAACAUUCAAUCUAUCAAAAUCCUACUGCUGCACAACAAUAAAUGAAGUGCUUGUUCAAAGAGUAGCCAAAGUCUGGUAUAGUACCUCUACUGUGUUGUAUCUAUGAGCAAUAGUUACGAGAAUUCCUUGAAGAAGACGAAGAAGAAGGAAAUAUUACGCUCCAAGAUGAUAUCGUCACUCGACCAUGAAGUAAUCUAAUAUAACAAUUUUCAUUCCUUUGCGUCCUUUUUGUGUUUCGCAAUGUUCUAAGGUUAUUACAUUUUGCUUCGAUCCAAACGGAUGUUGUAAAUAUGUAAGUCUCUUGCAUUGUAUAGCGUUGUAAAGUUGGCUGUUGCAGAAUAUUUCCCAUCAAGGACAGAAGCAUCCAGAUGAAGAAGAAAAAGAAGACGACCAGAUUCCUGCUUAUGCUGUGCUCUUGAAGCUUUAUUGUGUGCAUUGACUUCGAAUGUCCUUUGCAGAGAGUCCUUGUGGCAUAUCGAUGCAUUCUCUUGCGGUAUAUAGCGGGCUUAGCUAUUAUGUGUGUAUAGACCCUCCCAACUGGUCAACCUCCUUCUUCCUAUCCAAACAUUGACCAACAGAGGAGUAGGAACAUCUCUAUAUCUUUCCGUCAUCGAAAGCACAUGAAGAAUCCCUUCGUGGGCAUCGCACUCUCGGAUUGAAUUUAAUAAAAGAAGAUGUUGUGUGUGCAAUGUGUGUUAGUGUGUGUGUAAGGAUGUUCUAUGGGAUUACUUAUUUUUUAUUGAACAAAUCUUUAGUGGGCUCUUUAACCAAACAGAAUUAUUCCUCGUCGUAUAGUAUACAGAAUUCAUAAGGAUCAAUAAAAUUGUGAAACAUGGGAUUUACUUGAAUUCAAUGUAAAUGUAAA